UUAUUACUCCCUCCGUCCCAAAAUAAGUGUCUCAACUUUGUACUAACUCUUUGUACUAACUUUAAUACAAAGUUGUACUAAACUUGAGACACUUAUUUUGGGACGGAGGGAGUACUUG
rfam:Triticum urartu cultivar G1812 contig144466, whole genome shotgun sequence.